rnacentral:rRNA from 1 species
UGGGGAAUAUUGCACAAUGGGCGCAAGCCUGAUGCAGCCAUGCCGCGUGUAUGAAGAAGGCCUUCGGGUUGUAAAGUACUUUCAGUCGGGAGGAAGGUGGUGAGCUUAAUACGCUCAUCAAUUGACGUUACCGACAGAAGAAGCACCGGCUAACUCCGUGCCAGCAGCCGCGGUAAUACGGAGGGUGCAAGCGUUAAUCGGAAUUACUGGGCGUAAAGCGCACGCAGGCGGUUGAUUGAGUCAGAUGUGAAAUCCCCGGGCUUAACCCGGGAAUUGCAUCUGAUACUGGUCAGCUAGAGUCUUGUAGAGGGGGGUAGAAUUCCACGUGUAGCGGUGAAAUGCGUAGAGAUGUGGAGGAAUACCGGUGGCGAAGGCGGCCCCCUGGACAAAGACUGACGCUCAGGUGCGAAAGCGUGGGGGAGCAAACA